UUAGUUUCUGGUUGAACGAUUGUAUGUAAUUAGAUAUGUCCAUUGCUUAAUUAGAUUUCCCCAUUGGAAUUAAAAUAAAAUAAAAAAAUUUAAACAGCUGGUCUGCAACAUGAUUUCUCAAUAGUUGGUUUUAAUUAGUCCUUGUCGGUGGUUUGUCAUUUAGUUUAUUACAUGACUGCCUCAUAAAGAUUCAUACAGCCCAAUGCUCGACUGGCUCAAAAUGAUUCAUACGUCCCAAUGCCCAGAGGAUAAGAUGACAGCUCUGUGGAUAACUAAGAGUCUUCUAGAGGAUGCCAGAUGCUUCCCUUGCCAAUACUGAUUGUUGGGCACGUAGCAUAUUUCCUCUACCCACUGCGCUUUAGAGAACUAUCAAAUUCAUUAGCUUAGCCCUUGGGCUUUCUUUUCCUGUGUUGACAGGUGGGAAUUUGGUCCAUUACUAAUCCAAAUAGAAUGUAAACCGUAAAUACCCACCUAUCUCUUUUAUUUUUUGUUCUAUCCAUCUUUAUCUAUUAUAUCCCUCAAUUAAAAUAAAUUAAGAAAUGAAACAAUUUUCUGAGAAAGCUUAUCUUUCCUCAUUCGUGUCCUUUAGAAUCCACUGUGUUUUUCCCAAACUCCAUCGUAAACCACUAAAGCAGCAACAACAAAAUCCAACCAAAAUCCCAGCUGAAAUCCCACCCCACUAUACUAGCGAUGAAGAAGAAUAAGGGAUUGAAGGGAUUGAAUGUUUCAAAGCCUAAGUAAUCCGUAUCCAAAAGAAAAAUGAUAAGGCUUAGAAGCUUAAACAAAUUGCAAAAUAGACGACAACAUCUGGCUCAAAACGCGAAUGAACUUUUGAAUGCCAUAGCAAUGACCAACUCGCGAUCGCAUUCUCCCCACCUAAAUCGGUAAUUCGUUUCAAACCAAGUCAUUUUUUCCUCUGUUUUGUUAAAAUUGGUUUUAUUGUAUGGUAUAUAAUUAAUUUGUGACACAUUUAAGAAUGAAUUGGGUCCAUUUGAAUGUCAAAUCAGAGAAGUUUUCCAUAAGAUCAUGAGUUGUUGUCAAUUGGAGGGUUUUAACAUACUGAGUAAGCCAAAGGACAUCGAGUAACCGAGUUUUAUAGAGUUUCUAGUGAGCAUCAAAGUGUAUUAUUUUUUAAUAUAUGUUGUUGUAUUUUGCCAGCUUUGUAGUUUCCCAGCCUUCUUCAAGUAAAAAGCUUUAUAUGGUCAACAAACAUAUAUAUAUAUAUAUAUAUGCAUAUGCAUAUAACUAAGCAGGUUUUUUGGCAAUUCAUGUUAUUGAAGAGUGAUAAAGAUAGAGAUGGGCCCUUAUGUGGAUGAUAUAAUAAGUUAAGCAAUGGCAAUAGUGCGUGUAAUCGUUAUUCUGUAAUUUCGGCCUCAUCUUUAGAUAGCAUCAAAAUUUAUGCUUGGGAUUUAUUGUUUAAAAUUGGUUUCCUUUUAAUGCCAUAGCAUUAAAGAGCAUAUUGAAUGUUGUAUUUUUUUUGUUAGAAUGCAAAAUAUGUGACUUUGUUGAGGUGUGUUUUUUAUUAGAAUGAAAAACAUGUGGCUUUAAUACAACGGAAAUUGUUGGGUUGAACUUUUCAGAAACAUUGUUAGAACAAUAUUAGCAGUCAAAUUAGGCUUUAUUAACCCUUUUAGGCUUUAUAAGGUACUCCCAAUCUAACAUGGACCAAAAGUAGGCUUUAUUGACCCUUUUAUAUCUGGUUUUGUAAAGUCCAUAAUAUAUAAAAUCGUAUAUUUAAGUUUGAAAUUUGUUGGUAGUGAAACUGGUAUUACAAGAUAACAGGGUGUGAUGUUAUCAUUGUUGGAAUUAAGUCAUUGUAAAUGUAAUGAUUUUGGUGGCCUCUUUUCCCCCUUUCUUUUUUUUCUUUUUUUUUUUUAUAGCUUAAAUUUGAAGUAAGAUCUAGAAAUUUAAAAUGUUAAAACUAAAAACAAUUGUGUGAAGUUGAUAUUUCUGCUUAGAAUGUUGAGGUUUUUUGUGAGCAUGCCACUUAUAGGAUAUCAAUGCUUGACACAAUUUAUUGUGAUAAGAUAUCCUCAAUUUUUUAUUUUUUAUUCUUCUUUUUUUUGGCUAAUUUUAAUUUAUAUGUAAGCAGAUUUUCUUAGUACUCUUAUAUAUAUGUAUAUAUGUAUAUAUAUAUA